rnacentral:rRNA from 1 species
CUACGGGAGGCAGCAGUGGGGAAUAUUGCACAAUGGAGGAAACUCUGAUGCAGCAACGCCGCGUGGAGGAUGACACUUUUCGGAGCGUAAACUCCUUUUAUAUAGGAAGAAGAUGACGGUACUAUAUGAAUAAGCGCCGGCUAACUCCGUGCCAGCAGCCGCGGUAAUACGGAGGGCGCAAGCGUUACUCGGAAUCACUGGGCGUAAAGAGCGUGUAGGCGGAUUAAAAAGUCAGAAGUGAAAUCCUAUAGCUUAACUAUAGAACUGCUUCUGAAACUCUUAAUCUAGAAUAUGGGAGAGGUAGAUGGAAUUUCUGGUGUAGGGGUAAAAUCCGUAGAGAUCAGAAGGAAUACCGAUUGCGAAGGCGAUCUACUAGAACAUUAUUGAAGCUGAGACGCGAAAGCGUGGGAAGCAAACAGGAUUAGAUACCCUAGUAGUC